GCCACUGUGGCAUAGUGGUUCAUGCACUGGAUUAAGACUCUGGAGACAAGGGUUUGAAUCCCUCCUCAGCCA